rnacentral:rRNA from 1 species
CAAUAGCGUAUAUUAAAGUUGUUGCAGUUAAAAAGCUCGUAGUUGGAUUUCUGGUGGGAGCGAUCGGUCUGGCGCUUAGCGCGAGUACUUGCAUCGUCUCCGGCCAUCCUUGGGGAGAGUCUGUCUGGCAUUAGGUUGUCGGGCAGAGGAUCCUCAUCGUUUACUGUGAAAAAAUUAGAGUGUUCAAAGCAGGCUUAUGCCGUUGAAUAUAUUAGCAUGGAAUAAUAAGAUAGGACUUUGGUACUAUUUUGUUGGUUUGCGCACCAAAGUAAUGAUUAAUAGGGACAGUUGGGGGUAUUCGUAUUCCGUUGUCAGAGGUGAAAUUCUUGGAUUACGGAAGACGAACUACUGCGAAAGCAUUUACCAAGGAUGUUUUCAUUAA